rnacentral:rRNA from 1 species
AUUGAACGCUGGCGGCAUGCUUUACACAUGCAAGUCGAACGGUAACAGGCCGCAAGGUGCUGACGAGUGGCGAACGGGUGAGUAAUGCAUCGGAACGUGCCCAGUCGUGGGGGAUAACUACUCGAAAGAGUAGCUAAUACCGCAUACGAUCUAUGGAUGAAAGCGGGGGACCGUAAGGCCUCGCGCGAUUGGAGCGGCCGAUGUCAGAUUAGGUAGUUGGUGGGGUAAAGGCUCACCAAGCCAACGAUCUGUAGCUGGUCUGAGAGGACGACCAGCCACACUGGGACUGAGACACGGCCCAGACUCCUACGGGAGGCAGCAGUGGGGAAUUUUCGACAAUGGGCGCAAGCCUGAUCCAGCAAUGCCGCGUGCAGGAAGAAGGCCUUCGGGUUGUAAACUGCUUUUGUACGGAACGAAACGGCUCUGGUUAAUACCCGGGGCUAAUGACGGUACCGUAAGAAUAAGCACCGGCUAACUACGUG